GAUGAACGCUGGCGGCGUGCCUAAUACAUGCAAGUCGAGCGAACAGAUCAGGAGUUUGCUCCUUUGACGUUAGCGGCGGACGGGUGAGUAACACGUGGGUAACCUACCUAUAAGACUGGGAUAACUUCGGGAAACCGGAGCUAAUACCGGAUAAUAUUUCGAACCGCAUGGUUCGAUAGUGAAAGAUGGUUUUGCUAUCACUUAUAGAUGGACCCGCGCCGUAUUAGCUAGUUGGUAAGGUAACGGCUUACCAAGGCGACGAUACGUAGCCGACCUGAGAGGGUGAACGGCCACACUGGAACUGAGACACGGUCCAGACUCCUACGGGAGGCAGCAGUAGGGAAUCUUCCGCAAUGGGCGAAAGCCUGACGGAGCAACGCCGCGUGAGUGAUGAAGGUCUUCGGAUCGGAAAACUCUGUUAUUAGUGAAGAACAUACGUGUAAGUAACUGUGCACGUCUUGACGGUACCUAAUCAGAAAGCCACGGCUAACUACGUG
rnacentral:rRNA from 1 species